GUUCUAUUAGCUCAGCUGGUUGGAGCAUACGUCUAAUAAACGCAAGGUCACAGGUUCGAUCCCUGUAUAGAACA
rnacentral:tRNA from 1 species